rnacentral:rRNA from 1 species
AUUGAACGCUGGCGGCAUGCUUUACACAUGCAGGUCGAACGGUAACAGGCCGCAAGGUGCUGACGAGUGGCGAACGGGUGAGUAAUGCAUCGGAACGUGCCCAGUCGUGGGGGAUAACGCAGCGAAAGCUGCGCUAAUACCGCAUACGAUCUAUGGAUGAAAGCGGGGGACCGUAAGGCCUCGCGCGAUUGGAGCGGCCGAUGGCAGAUUAGGUAGUUGGGGGGGUAAAGGCCUACCAAGCCUGCGAUCAGUAGAUGGUUUGAGGGGGCGACCAGACACACGGGGACUGAGACACGGCCCAGACUCCUACGGGAGGCAGCAGUGGGGAAUUUUGGACAAUGGGGGCAAGCCUGAUCCAGCCAUGCAGCGUGCGGGAAGAAGGCCUUAGGGUUGUAAACCGCUUUUGUCAGGGAAGAAAUACUCUGGGCUAAUACCCUGGGGUGAUGACGGUACCUGAAGAAUAAGCACCGGCUAACUACGUGCCAGCAGCCGCCGUAAUAC